GUCCAACUGACGAGUCCCAAAGGGGACUAAAAACGCUUCCUGGAU
rfam:Schistosoma margrebowiei strain Zambia genome assembly, scaffold: SMRZ_scaffold0000081